AUGCCAUUUGACGAUAUGGCCAUUACUUUGGAUAAUGUUUCAUGUCUUCUUCACAUACCGAUUAGGGGUGAGUUAGUUGACCCUCAAGAAGGUUUCACUGAAAGUGAUGCUAUUAGACUAGCUAUUGAUCUGAUGGGUGUUCCAUUGGACGAGGCAGCUAAGGAGAUCCAUUUUUGUAGAGGUCCUUAUUAUAGGCUGGAUUGGUUGAAGAUGAUAUUUGUGCGUCAUCGAGCUGCUAGUAGAUUUAACUGUGCUACUAAAGCCUAUAUGACGGUAUUGUUAGAUUGUUGA